rnacentral:lncRNA from 1 species
CAUUUUUCAUCUUCAGCUCCUCAACCAUUUCCACCUCUUCAUCACCAUGAUGAUGAUGAUGUUCAUCAAUUUUCACCCCCACACCAAUUCCCUCCGCCCCCUGAAAUUUUUGAUAUUAAUAAUAAUUAUCAUCAUCAUCAACCGGAAAGUGUGGAUCCCUUUUAUUCAGAACAUCAGCCGCCGCCACCCUUUCCUGUUGUUCAACCUGUUCCUGGAGGAGUGACCAUGCCAGCUCGGCCCGGAUUUGGAACAUCGCCUGCUCCUCCAGUAUUUACACCUCCGAUACCCGACCACGAAUGGAAGACUCAUCUCUUCGGUUGCAUGACCGAUCCCCCAACCGGUAACAUUAUUAUUAUUAUUAUUAUUAUUAUUAUUAUUAUUAUUAUUAUUAUUCNNNNNNNNNNNNNNNNNNNNNNNNNNNNNNNNNNNNNNNNNNNNNNNNNNNNNNNNNNNNNNNNNNNNNNNNNNNNNNNNNNNNNNNNNNNNNNNNNNNNGGGCAGAUGCUGAAAUAUGGACUCUGGGAUAACAUGUAAGAUCAAGUCUAUAUCAAUAUGUACACAUUAAUUGUUUAUCGCUUUUAUCAUCCUUACAUAUAUGUUAAUAUAUCAUUAAUGUGUGUGUGUGUGUUGUAGCAUGCGGGACGAGUGGGAUGCUGUACGUGCUGAUAACGGUUUGUAUAGGAAUGCCUUGGUUACUGACAUGCAGUUAUCGGACCAAACUGAGAACUAAGUUUGGGCUGAUGGAAUCCCCAGCUCCAGACUUCCUUAUUCACUGCUUCUGCGGAUACUGUGCUCUCUGUCAGGAAUACAGAGAGCUUACCGAAAGGGGCAUUGACCCCUCUAUUGGUUAGUAUUUAAUACUAAUACUAAUAUUAACACUAAUACUAGGGCCCUUUUUUAUUUUUUUACUCUUAUGAAUAAUUAAUAUUAAUAUUGCAUCUUAAUAAUUACCAGGAUAUUAUGGGAAUGUGGCCAAAUUGCGGAGGCAGCAGCAGCAAAUGGCUAUGGCAGCUCCAAUGCAGCAAAGGAUGAUUUGAGACCAAAAUGCCAAGUCAUUAUUAAUUAUCUUUUUUUUAUUAUUAUUAUUAUUAUUAUUUUUAAUUAUUAUAUAUGUCCAUAUGAUGGUUUCGUUUUUAACAAUGUCAAACUUCAUUUCUCGUUUUUUUCCUUCUCCCUACAAUGUCGAAUAGACUAGCUUCGCUGGUAGUUUAUUGGUUCUGUACUGUUUGCCAAAUUUGCAUUGCUUGUCAAGAUAAAGAGCAUCUUGCCUCUUUUUCGAGUGUGUUUUAUUUUCAAUGAUUUUGCAUUUUGCACCCCAAGUAUUAUAUAGAAUGGCCAUUUCCAUCCUAUAUAGAAAGUACAAGGGGAUCAUGUACUUAUAUUGAAACGACAAUAAGGUCAUGUGCACAAGCUCAAACCAAAAGGGGUAAAGUGCUAUUUACUCAUAAAUAAAUACAACCAAAAGAUUUGAAGAUUUUGUGUUUAAAAUUUUUGGAUGGGAAGAAUAAAAUUAUUUAUAAAAUUCUCGAACAUUCUGAUGUUUGAUUCGGUUUUAAUUUACAGAAACAAUUCAAUAAAUUUAAAGUUGGCCUAAAACAAUAGACAUGUAUAUCAUCUAUACAUACCCUGACGUACUAUUAUUACUAUUUACUAUUUUAUUUUUUGUUUGCUAUAGAAAUCUGAAGGGUCCAUCACAAAUAAACUAUCAUCGGAUACUUAUUUAUAAAGGGGUUUAGACAAAAAAAGUUUUUACCAAAGCAGUGCAAAUAUUGUCCAGAGGUGUGUAAAAGACUAACAUACCCCUUCACGUUUUAAUAUGCUCUAAUUUUAUCAUUUUAUUCAAUUUAAUAUGAAUUUGACCACAAAUUUCACCAAUUAUUCAAUUUUGAGUACAAUUUUGCCCGUUGCCGCCGCCGUUGUCAUUUUUUUUUCUUUAUCUUUUUUAUGCCGCCACUGACCGACGGUCGAUGCCAGUCUCCGGCAUUGUAUUUCCUUUUCUUCUUUCUUUGUCUUUUACUUAUUUGUGAAAACCCCAUCAUAUGCAUUGUAUAAUUUAGAUUAUAUCUUUUUUUUCCCCCUCCAUUUUUGAGAUAAAUCCUUAUUCAUCAAAUUAUACUAUGAGUUAAUAGCAUUUCGCCACCUGGACUUUGCCCGUUUUUGCACUUACCACCUUAACUAAAAAAAGUUGCAAGCUUCCACCCAAACUCGAUUUUUUGACGCACAUAACCACCUAAGGGGAAUAUUCCGGCGAAUAUUCUCAUUUUUCAACGCUCGCGCGAUGCACAUGUGAAAGUACAAGGGCUUUUUCGUCUUUUUACUUGAAAAUAUUAUAAGGGGUGAAAUUGAAAGUACCAGGGACUCAAUAGAACUUAAUUUGAAACUUUCACAAAUUCGAAAUUAAUUACUCUUCGUCCUUCUUCAGCCCACCGCCGUCCGCCGCCCGCCGCCUCUUAUUCGCCGUCCGCCGCCUCUAAUUCGCCGGUUGCCUGCCUCGCGACCCUUUAUCGUCUGCUAACUCUGCUUUGCAGCCCUCCGCCGCCUCUGCUUCGCGGCCCACCGCAAAUAGAGGACAUAAACCUCCCAUUCACCGGAUGAGAAAAACUCUGCACCAUCCAUAUCGCCGUCGAUUGGCGGUGAUGCCUAGCCUCACAUAAUCCGGCGGUGAUUCUUUCCAAAUUCACUAAUUGAAUGUGAGGGGAUUUGUACUCUUAAAUCUGCCGCCAGCAGAUUUGGUGGUGGUGGUUUUAGAAAAGAAAUUGGCUGCGGAGGCGUCGCGAGGGGUUUUGGGUACAGCCGGAGGAGUUGGACAUUUGGACGAGGUGUUGGUGGAGGAAUUGGUGGUGGAGUUGGAGGUGACAGUGGAGGAAUUGAAGGUGGAGUCGGUGGAGGCUUAGGCGUUAGUAUAGGUGGCAGAUUUGGUUGUGGUGGAGGUGGUGGUGGUGCGGCGGCGGAGCAGAUGUGGUGGUGGUGAUGCGGUGCCGGAGAGAGGAAGAAGACGGAGCAGGCCUUUUCUCUUUCUUUUUUUUUCUUUUCUUUUUCUUUUUCUUUUGAGAUAAGGGAUUUUUCAUAUUGAAUUUUUAGUAAUUUGAUAUGAUAAUUUCAGGUGGUGGUACGGCGGUGGAGAGAGAUGUUGGUGGCGGUGGUGUGAAAUAUCCUGAUUCCCCUGUUUUGCAGCAAGAGGGAGACGAAGAAGAUGAUGGGUGGAAGUUGUGAAAGUUUCAAAUUAAGUUCAAUUGAGUCCCUGGUACUUUCAAUUUCACCCCUUAUAAUAUUUUCAAGUAAAAAGACGAAAAAGCCCUUGUACUUUCGCAUGUGGAUCGCGCGUGCGUUGAAAAAUGAGAAUAUUCGCCGGAAUAUUCCCCUUAGGUGGUUAUGUGUGUCAAAAAAUUGAGUUUGGGUGGGCGUUUGCAACUUUUUUAGUUAAGGUGGUAAAGUGCAAAAACGGGCAAAGUCCAGGUGGCGAAAUGCUAUUAACCCUUAUAUUAUUAAUAACCUAUUUUACCAUUUCAUAAUUUUUAACCUAACUAAACUCUCAUAUCCCGUAGUCGUCUCUGUCUUUUCUCUUCUCUCCCUCUUUUCUCCACAACCAACACCCCACACCCUUGCGGCCCCACCGGAGACCACACCCUCACCGCCCUCCUCCUCCUCCUCGGGUAUGAGGUGUUGGGAAAAUUGGUUAAAAAUUGAGUCAUGAACAAUUUUUUAUCAAUGUUAUUGUACUGUCUAAUUGAGUAUAUAAAUGAAUUUUGGAUUAGAACCAAUUUUGUGGUGAAUGAAAAAUUACUAUUCCAAAAUAUAAGGAAAGUGGGAUUUUGAGUUAUCCCACAUUGGAAAAGUAGAGAAGUACUGAGCUGUAUAUAUAUCAAAAUAUUGGGACAAAGGGUCACGCCCUUUGGGCAUUCAACUUUGUUUGGGAGAAAGGUCUAUAUGUUAUGUGUUUCAAAUCGUGCCCACGCGCGCGCGUGCCGCCGUCCGUCCGACCGGCCGCCUCGCCUCGCUCGUACGUACGUACCAGAUCGGAGCUAACAUGGUCGAAGAUAAAAGUGUUCCUAUCGACAUGUCCGACCUCAACUUAUGUGCCGUAGUCUUUGAAGCUAACUUGGUGGACAAUCCCAAGGAAUGGUGGCUCGAUACGGGUGCAACUCGCCAUAUAUGCUCCAACAAGGAGUCGUUCUCCUCCUACACUCCAAUCAAUGGUCAAAAGGUGGGAAACUCUGCCACCUCGGACAUUGGAAGCUCACCUCCGGGAAGGAGCUCACUUUGGUUAAUGUACUGCACGUUCCGGAUAUCCGUAAAUAUUUAAUUUCCGGAACGCUGCUCACUAAGGCUGGUUUUAAGUUAGUUCUUGAGGCUGAGAAAUUAAUUCUCACCAAGAAUGGUCGUUUUAUAGGGAAAGGCUAUGUUGAUAACGGCCUUGUUAAGAUGAAUGUAAUGACGCUUGUUCACAAGCUUGAUGAUAAUAAAAUUACUAAUUCUAUGUACUUGAUAGAGUGUUCUAAAUUAUGGCAUGUUAGACUAGGACAUGUGAAUUUUAAAACACUCAAAAAGUUGGUAGACUUAGAACUACUACCUCAUCUUAAAUUCGAUUCUCAAAAGAAAUGUGAGAAACUUGUGUAGAAGCAAAAAUGACUAAAUUGUCAUUUAAUUCUGCUGAAAGAACAACGGAACCUCUAGAUUUAAUUCACAGUGAUAUUUGUGAUUUAAAAUUUGUGCAAACUAGAGGAGGAAAGAAAUACUUUAUUACGUUUAUUGACGAUUGUACUAAAUAUUGUUAUGUGUUUUUGCUAAGGAGCAAAGACGAGGCCUUGGAAGCUUUUAAAAGCUAUAAAGUUGAAGUGGAAAAUCAACUUGGAAGAAAAAUCAAAAUGAUUCGAAGUGAUAGAGGUGGAGAAUAUGGUGCUCCAUUUGAUGAAUUUUGUUCUCAAACCGGCAUUAUUCAUCAAACUACGACACCUUACUCUCCCCAAUCAAAUGGUGUUGCUGAACGCAAAAAUCGGACUCUUAAAGAAAUGAUGAAUGCAAUGUUGAUAAAUUCGGGUUUACCUCAGAAUUUGUGGGGGGAAGCACUCCUCUCGGCAAAUCAUAUUCUUAAUAAGAUUCCGCACCGAGAAAAGAAAGAAACCCCUUAUGAAUUAUGGAAAGGUCACAAGCCGUCCUAUAAAUAUUUAAAAGUGUGGGGGUGUUUGGCUAAGGUACAAGUACCCAAACCAAAACAAAUAAAAAUUGGGCCUAAAACUGUUGAUUGCAUCUUUAUUGGCUACGCAAACAACAGUAGUGCAUAUCGAUGUUUAAUACACAAGUCUGAUGUUCUUGAUAUGAAUGAAGGCACAAUCAUUGAAUCAAGAAAUGUUGCAUUUUUUGAGGAUAGAUUUCCCUAUAAAGAAAAAUCAGCAACGUGUUCUCACAAAAGAACAUAUGAAACUGCUAAUGAUGGGUUUCAAAGUGAUGAAGAACCUAGACGAAGUACUAGGGCAAAAAUUGCUAAGUCCUUUGGACCGGAAUUCCUAACAUAUACUAUGGAAAAUGAUCCAAGGACCAUAAAAGAAGCUUUAUCCACUCCCGAAGCGCCACUUUGGAAAGAAGCAAUCAAUAGUGAAAUUGAUUCGAUUAUGCAAAAUCAUACGUGGGUAUUGGUUGAUCUAUCCCUGGGAAAUAAACCGUUGGGCUGUAAAUGGAUUCUCAAAAGAAAGUAUAAAGCCGAUGGCUCGAUUGAUAAAUACAAGGCAAGAUUAGUAGUCAAAGGAUUUAGACAAAAGGAAGGUCUAGAUUUCUUUGAUACUUAUUCGCCCGUAACGAGAAUCACAUCAAUUAGAGUACUUCUAGCAAUUGCUGCUUUGCACAAUCUAGAAGUUCACCAAAUGGACGUAAAGACAACGUUUUUAAAUGGUGAAUUAGAAGAAGAAAUAUACGUGGAACAACCCGAAGGGUUUGUUGCUCAUGGACAAGAGUCCAAAGUAUGUAAACUUGUGAAGUCACUUUAUGGACUAAAACAAGCUCCCAAGCAAUGGCAUGAAAAAAUUGAUAGAACAAUACUAGCAAAUGGGUUUAAAAUAAAUGAGUGUGAUAAAUGUGUAUACAUUAAAAACACACCAAAUGAAUUUGUGCUUAUAUGUCUCUACGUGGAUGACAUGUUAAUUAUGGGCAAUAAUCACGAGAUAAUCGUGAAAACUAAGAAAAUGUUAUCGACACAUUUUGACAUGAAAGAUAUGGGUUUAGCCGAUGUAAUUUUGGGAGUAAAAAUUAUCAAAAAUUAUAAUAGACUAGUUCUUACUCAAUUGCAUUAUAUUGAGAAAGUAUUACAAAAAUUUAAAAUGUUUGAUAGUCCACCUGCUACGACCCCAAUCGAUUUGAAAAUUCACUUAGCCAAAAAUCGUGGAGAACCAGUUGAUCAAUUGAAAUAUUCUCAAAUCAUAGGCAGUCUAAUGUACGUCAUGAACUGCACUCGUCCGGAUAUUGCUCAUUCGGUUAGUAAAUUAAGUAGAUUUACAAGCAAUCCCGGAAAUGACCAUUGGAAUGCAUUAACUAGAGUACUUAGAUACUUGAAAUAUACUCUAGAUUUUGGUUUGCAUUUUACAAGAUAUCCAUCUGUACUAGAAGGAUACAGUGAUGCGAAUUGGAUAUCAGAUACUAAAGAUUCUAAAUCCACAAGUGGUUAUGUUUUCACUAUAGGUGGAGCUGCUGUGUCAUGGAAAUCUACAAAGCAAACAUGUAUAGCUCGAUCCACAAUGGAAUCGGAGUUCAUAGCUUUAGAUAAAACUGGAGAAGAAGCGAAAUGGCUUCGUAAUUUCCUAGAAGAUAUUCCGUGUUGGAAUAAACCAGUGCCGGCAAUAUUAAUUCAUUGCGAUAGUCAAUCAGCAAUUGGAAGGGCACGAAGCAGCAUGCAUAAUGGUAAGUCUAGACACAUUCGUCGCCGACAUAAUACCAUAAGGCAAUUGAUCUCAAAUGAAAUAAUUUCUAUAGACUAUGUAAAGUCUAAAGACAACUUAGCGGAUCCGUUGACUAAAGGUUUACCAAGAGAUCAACUACAAUGCCUAUCUAGGGAAAUGGGAUUAAAACCCAUAAAUUAAGGACAAUCUUAGUGGUAACCCAACCAUGCUGACUGGAGAUCCCAAGAACUGGUUCAAAAGGGACAACUAAGCUAAGAAAGUUCAGUUGAGCACUAAGGAACUCAUUCCUAACUCAUUCCCGCGAAAGAUAAUAGUGCUAUCUGCAGAAAGGGUAAAGGAUAAGCUAACGCUUUUAAUGAUUCCAAAACCUUAUAACAAAAGGUGAGGUAUUGGGAGGAUACCUUUAAUAGGAGAUCACCUAUGUAAGUGUAUGAAGUGAGGGCCGCUUCAAAAACUUGACAAACACUUAUGAAUCCAAGAUGUGUGUCAAUGGCCAAAACGGACACAAUCAUGAGAAGUAAGGAAAUGUGAGAAUAGUAUUGUGUGGGUUGCAUUGUCUUGGUUUACACGAACGGCUGACAGUUCAAGACAUCGCGUUCACUACUCAGCCUAGUAAAUCCGAUGUAACUCCACUACGGAAGGUUCAAAGCUAUAUGCUACCUAUCCCGAUGCAAUAUUAUUCGUGGGAACUCUAGAGAGAAUCGACGCCCUCGUUUUCAUUCAUGUGGGGGAUUGUUGGGAAAAUUGGUUAAAAAUUGAGUCAUGAACAAUUUUUUAUCAAUGUUAUUGUACGGUCUAAUUGAGUAUAUAAAUGAAUUUUGGAUUAGAACCAAUUUUGUGGUGAAUGAAAAAUUACUAGUCCAAAAUAUAAGGAAAGUGGGAUUUUGAGUUAUCCCACAUUGGAAAAGUAGAGAAGUACUGAGCUGUAUGUAUAUCAAAAUAUUGGGACAAAGGGUCACGCCCUUUGGGCAUUCAACUUUGUUUGGGAGAAAGGCCUAUAUGAUAUGUGUUUCAAAUCGUGCCCACACGCGCGCGCGCCCCGCCGACCGGCCGGCUCGGCUCGGCUCGGCUCGCUCGUUCGUUCGUUCGUUCGUUCGGACGGCUACAUUAGGUCAUGGGCUUUAACCCAUUGGACUCUUAUUACUCGAAGCCCAUCUCGAUUGGUCUGACUGGUCUAAAUUGGUGCGGCCGAACCAAUGCAAACCAUUCGGUUCAACUCGAAAUGGUGCAACCACUCCCAAUUGGCUCAACUCGAAAUGGUGCAACCAUUCAAACAAAAAGGUACCUUUUUGCUCCAAAGGACACUACUUUUCCAACCUUAUAAAUAGACCCUAACUUUCCCAGAAUUCCUCAUUUCAAUCCAAAACAAGCCUACUGCAUAUUAAGCCUACCCUUCACAGAUUCUCUCGAAAAGUUCUACACAAUUGUAUCUUGGGAGACGAUUUCCAUUCAAUCCGUUAGCACCGUUGCGGGGAAAUUUCGUCUUAAGGACAGAGUCAACUCGCCUCGGCAAAUUUUCGUUCAUAGCAGAUAAGUAAACCAACAUGAGGAUCUGUGCGUCCUCCACCGUUCACAAUGUUUACUGGCCUGAUUCGCCUAAGGAGGUAUGUGGAUCACAGGCUCCAAUUCUAUUUCUUUAUCAUCAUCACCAAUAUGAUUGGGGAAUUGCUGCGAUUCUUCAUGAAUAGCCUGGAUUAAUCUCUUCUUCUGCAGUAGCAUUUUUAAGAAUCGGGCUUUCCAUUAUAUUUUCUAGGAUUGAUUCUGCUGAUAAAAAUGAGUAAAAAUGUAAUCGCUAUCGAGCUGUUGGAGCAAAAUUUUCAAUCGUUUUCUUAUCUCACACUUGCCAUCUCUGAUUUUGUCAAUUAAAUUUCAUCAUGGUUUUUAUCUUCCUGCAUGAUCAAUAUAAUCAGUCAACCACAACAAAAAGAAAACAUACAAAGAAUAAAAUAAUAAAUUAAAUCAUUAAUUACCUUUAUAAUAGCAUCUUCAUUGCAUCUGCAAGUUUCAUUAUUAGUGGAUUAGGUUAAUUUUGCAGUGAAUUACGUUAUUAUUUUAAUAAAUUUGAUAUUUUUAUAGUGGAUUUUGAUGAUAUUUUAGUGGAUUUUGAUGAUACUUCUGUAGUGGAUUUCAAUUUCUUGGCUUUAAAAAUGAAUUUGUUUGAAUGAAUUGAACUAACACGUAUUUAUAUUUUUUUUAUUCGUUUUGGUGAUGCUUGGGAAAUGGAAAAACAAAAAAAGAAGAUGAUUAUAUCGAGUAUGCUCCGGGAUUCGCUCGAGAGAAGAUGGUGUUUUAUAUUGUUAGAAUUUAUAGUUAAUUCACAUAUAAAUUAAGGCUUUGGGAGCCUGCUCUUGAUCAAUCAUUACACAGAGAUAUGAUUGUGACUUGUGAGUUAAUGCAGAACGAAUAGGAAUGUUGAUGUGAUAAACCUUUAGGUUUCUAAUAGUGGAUUACGUUUUUCUGUGAUCAUGUUUGUAAUUGUGUUCAUAGUUGGAUUACAUUAAUUCAUAGCGGAAUAUAUGUUUUUUUAGUUUUCGAUACGUGGAUUACAAUAUUCGUAGUGGAAUAUAGUAUUUUUUUAGUGAAUUUCAAUACGUGGAUUACAUUAAUAUUAAAGUCGAGUACGUUAAUUUCAUAGUCAUUUCUACGUCAAUUUCAUAGUUGUUUCGAUAAAUUUUUAGUAAUUUUUUAUAAGUAUGUAGUGGAUUUCAAUUUUUUGUAAAUUGGCAAAAAGAAUUUAAAAAUAGAAAAAAAAAACAAAAAAAAUAACCAACUUUUUUAAAGUCGACACAAAGGGAAAAAAAUUUUUUUGGAAAAAGGCAAAUCGAAGAAAAAUAUAUAAAAAAUCAAAUAAGGAAAAACUAAUUUAAUAUAAAAAAGGAGAAUAAAAAUAAAAUAGAAUUAAAAAUAAUUUUUAUAUAUAUAUAAAAGAAAGGUUUGUCCCGGAACCCUAAAAGCAGUUUUUUAUUUUUAAAUAUUUUUGUGAAAUAUUUAUUUCAUUUAUUUUCUCAUUUUUUAUACACAUUCAAAAAAAAAAUUAUUUCUCUUUUAUAAAACACAUUUCGAUUUUUUUUAUUGUUUUCUUUUUUCUUUUUUUCUUCUUACUUUUAUUCCCGUCCCCACUAAACACGGUCAAUUUUUUUCACAUUUUUUAUUUUUAAAUAUUUUCUUUUUCUUUUUUUUUUCUCCUUUCGAGCACUAAAUUUUCUCCCAUUUUUUAUAGGACACGUUUUUUCAAUUAUUUUAUUUUUCUUUCUUUUUUUCCCUUCCCACUAAACACGGUAAACUGUCAAUUUCUUUUUUCACGUUUGUUUUUUUCUUUUUAAUUUUUUUUUCUUUUUUUUUUUUUUUUCUUUCCAGCACUAAUUUUUAUCUCUUUUUUUAUAGCACACGUAUGUGUAUUAAAUUUUAUUGUUAAAAUAGAUACAUAGAUUAUGAUUGCAAUUAGUGGAAUUUUUACAUUUUCGGUGUUCCAUUGUUUUGCUAUUGUACAUGUCAUAUAUGUUUACUAAUUUCUAAUUUUGCUUAUCUUGUAUGUAAAAACAAAGAAAUUCAAAAAGACAUUAAGUUGGUGUAAUUUAGGUAUCUGCAUCUAAUAGGUUUAAGUUAACUGGAUUUAUGUUAAAUUCGAAUUACAAAAUGAAUUUAUCACAAUAUGAAAAAUCAUUGAGUGAGGUUUGUCAAAUAGCUCCAUAUAUUAAACACAAGUUUGGUAAUUACUGAUGUAAAUUGUAGAAAGAUCAACAAAUUAAAGUAAUAUAAUUUUGGCCACUUGUUUUCCCAUGUCAUGCUGGCCAAUCCAAGUUGAUCUCUCUAAAAACUGCCAAGAGAAAAUUGAAAAAUGACAGCCGCUACUCUGAACUCUCUCUCUCUCUCUUAAAGGGUUGACGCCUUCCAAGUCAACCAUUAUGUAAGAUAGUGUGCAUGCUACAUUUUGUUUUGCUCAACAUCAUUGUCAUUAGUAAAUUUGAAGUAGUGAGUCAACGAUCUAUUAAUAUUUCAAUCAUACAAUAAUUAAUUGGGUCAUGUCGACAUAUAUAUUAAAAAAGAAUAAUAAGAAUUAAAACCAGCUAGCUUUCCCACAUGUACGCAAUACGAAGCUAUCCCUUCUUAGCUUGUUCACCCCACACACAUACAAACACACCACAACCAUUAGCAAAUAAAAGCUGUAUUAGAUCGAUACAUAUAUAUAUAUAGAAGAGGCAUCGAUCAAAAUAUCAAAUAUUAAUACAGAGUAAUUAAAUUAUUAGGCGAAGAAAUAAAGAGAGAGAAAAGGAAAAUGGGUCGAAUAGGUAAGGCGGAUGAUGCAACAAGUAGUCAUCAACACGAGCAAGGAGUUGAGUUUGAAGAAUUCCAUCAUCACAAUAAUAAUGAAGACGAAGAAGAAGAUCUUUACGCGCCACCUCCUCCGACGAUCAUUACUAAUGAAAAGUCAAAGCUGCCACCAACUGGAAAACCAGCUGAAGCCUUUCCUCCUCCGGUUGAGCAAUUUCCACCUGUUCACCAUGACGACGAUGAGGAUCAUCAUCAUAGUCAUUUUUCAUCUUCAGCUCCUCAACCAUUUCCACCUCUUCAUCACCAUGAUGAUGAUGAUGUUCAUCAAUUUUCACCCCCACACCAAUUCCCUCCGCCCCCUGAAAUUUUUGAUAUUAAUAAUAAUUAUCAUCAUCAUCAACCGGAAAGUGUGGAUCCCUUUUAUUCAGAACAUCAGCCGCCGCCACCCUUUCCUGUUGUUCAACCUGUUCCUGGAGGAGUGACCAUGCCAGCUCGGCCCGGAUUUGGAACAUCGCCUGCUCCCGCAUUUGGAGCAUCGCCUGCUCCUCCAGUAUUCGGAACAUCGCCUGCUCCAGUAUUUGCAGAUCAGAUACCCGACCACGAAUGGAAGACUCAUCUUUUCGAUUGCAUGAACAAUCCCCA